AGAGUUUGAUCCUGCUCAGACGAACGCUGGCGGCGUGCUAAUACAUGCAAGUCGAGCGAGCGACCGAUGCAGAAGCUUCGGGUGGACGCGUUGGGAGCUUAGCGGCGAACGGGUGAGUAACACGUAGGCAACCUGCCUGUAAGACUGGGAUAACUGGCGGAAACGUCAGCUAAUACCGGAUACACCGCACGGUACGCCUGUAUUGUGCGGGAAAGGCGGAGCGAUCUGCCACUUACAGAGGGGCUGCGGCGCAUUAGCUAGUUGGUGAGGUAACGGCUCACCAAGGCGACGAUGCGUAGCCGACCUGAGAGGGUGAUCGGCCACACUGGGACUGAGACACGGCCCAGACUCCUACGGGAGGCAGCAGUAGGGAAUCUUCCGCAAUGGACGGAAGUCUGACGGAGCAACGCCGCGUGAGUGAAGAAGGUCUUCGGAUCGUAAAGCUCUGUUGCCAGGGAAGAAGAGGUACAGGAGUAACUGUCUGUACUGUGACGGUACCUGAGAAGAAAGCCCCGGCUAACUACCUGCCAGCAGCCGCGGUAAUACGUAGGGGGCAAGCGUUGUCCGGAAUUAUUGGGCGUAAAGGGCGCGCAGGCGGUGGAUUAAGUUUGGUGUUUAAUCCCGGGGCUCAACCCCGGUACGCACUGAAAACUGGUUCACUUGAGUGCAGGAGAGGAGAGCGGAAUUCCACGUGUAGCGGUGAAAUGCGUAGAGAUGUGGAGGAACACCAGUGGCGAAGGCGGCUCUCUGGUCUGUAACUGACGCUGAGGCGCGAAAGCGUGGGUAGCAAACAGGAUUAGAUACCCUGGUAGUCCACGCCGUAAACGAUGAAUGCUAGGUGUCAGGUGCGUUGUAGCUCUUGGUGCCGAAGUUAACACAUUAAGCAUUCCGCCUGGGGAGUACGGUCGCAAGACUGAAACUCAAAGGAAUUGACGG
rnacentral:rRNA from 1 species